rnacentral:rRNA from 1 species
GCGGCAGGCUUCAUACAUGCAAGUCGAGGGGCAGCAUAAAUUACUUGUAAUUUGAUGGCGACCGGCGAACGGGCGCGUAACGCGUAUGCAACUUACCUUUUACUAGAGAAUAGCCAAGAGAAAUUUUGAUUAAUGCUCUAUACACUUAUUAAUUCUCAUGAAUUUAUAAGAAAAGCUCCGGCGGUAAAAGAUGGGCAUGCGUCCUAUUAGCUUGUAGGUGAGGUAACGGCUCACCUAAGCUCCGAUAGGUAGGGGUCCUGAGAGGGAGAUCCCCCACACUGGUACUGAGACACGGACCAGACUUCUACGGAAGGCAGCAGUAAGGAAUAUUGGACAAUGGAGGCAACUCUGAUCCAGCCAUGCCGCGUGAAGGAAGACGGCCUUAUGGGUUGUAAACUUCUUUUAUACAGGAAGAAACCUUUCCACGUGUGGAAAGCUGACGGUACUGUAAGAAUAAGGAUCGGCUAACUCCGUGCCAGCAGCCGCGGUAAUACGGAGGAUCCAAGCGUUAUCCGGAAUUAUUGGGUUUAAAGGGUCCGCAGGCUGUUUGUUAAGUCAGAGGUGAAAUCCUACCGCUCAACGGUAGAACUGCCUUUGAUACUGGCAAACUUGAGUUAUUGUGAAGUAGUUAGAAUGUGUAGUGUAGCGGUGAAAUGCAUAGAUAUUACACAGAAUACCGAUUGCGAAAGCAGAUUACUAACAAUAUACUGACGCUGAGGGACGAAAGCGUGGGUAGCGAACAGGAUUAGAUACCCUGGUAGUCCACGCCGUAAACGAUGGUCACUAGCUGUUUGAUGUACAUUGGUACAUUGAGUGGCUAAGCGAAAGUGAUAAGUGACCCACCUGGGGAGUACGC